GAUGAACGCUGGCGGCGUGCCUAAUACAUGCAAGUCGAGCGAACAGACGAGGAGCUUGCUCCUCUGACGUUAGCGGCGGACGGGUGAGUAACACGUGGAUAACCUACCUAUAAGACUGGGAUAACUUCGGGAAACCGGAACUAAUACCGGAUAAUAUAUUGAACCGCAUGGUUCAAUAGUGAAAGACGGUUUUGCUGUCACUUAUAGAUUGAUCCGCGCCGCAUUAGCUAGUUGGUAAGGUAACGGCUUACCAAGGCAACGAUGCGUAGCCGACCUGAGAGGGUGAUCGGCCACACUGGAACUGAGACACGGUCCAGACUCCUACGGGAGGCAGCAGUAGGGAAUCUUCCGCAAUGGGCGAAAGCCUGACGGAGCAACGCCGCGUGAGUGAUGAAGGUCUUCGGAUCGUAAAACUCUGUUAUUAGGGAAGAACAAAUGUGUAAGUAACUAUGCACGUCUUGACGGUACCUAAUCAGAAAGCCACGGCUAACUACGUG
rnacentral:rRNA from 1 species